CGGCAGGCCGUCGAGCGUGCCUUGCGUGAACGGCUCGGCGUGCUGAACAGAGGCAAAACUGCCGUGGUUCGCCGGGUGCCAGUCCUGGCUUGCCACC
rnacentral:tRNA from 1 species